UACGUAGGGGGCUAGCGUUGUCCGGAAUCAUUGGGCGUAAAGAGCGCGUAGGCGGCCAGAUAAGUCCGGUGUGAAAGUCACAGGCUCAACCUGUGAAUGCCGCUGGAAACUGUCUGGCUAGAGUCCGGGAGGGGCGAGUGGAAUUCCUGGUGUAGCGGUGAAAUGCGCAGAUAUCAGGAAGAACACCCGUGGCGAAGGCGGCUCUCUGGGACGGUACUGACGCUGAGACGCGAAAGCGUGGGGAGCGAACAGG
rnacentral:rRNA from 1 species